ensembl:lncRNA
GCACAGUGGAUUGAAGCGGGGCUGUCAGUCACUUGGUGUUUGAGGACUCCCAUUGUAAAUCAGGGAUUCUUGCAGCCUGCUUUUUCAGGGACGUUGGCUGCUGUCUUCUGACCCACCCUGUGUGACUUUGGCGUCUCCUGUGACCUCCCAGUAUGGGUCUUGGCUUCAUCCUGCCUCUUUGCCUUUCUGGCCCACCACCACCAACUUGAAUCUCAGGCUCCAACAGUUGCCUGACCCCCAGACUCUGAUGACAGCCUACCUACUUGUUCUUCAGACCCUGAGCAGACUCACUGCCCAGACACACCAUACACGAGAACAUGAAAGGGUAUUUGAGUUUGGGGCCAUGUCAUAGGAUGCACCUUGAAAUGAGCCACGACAUGUGCAGUCUAAUGGUCUCUGUUGAUCCAUUUGCUGUCUGUGAAACUCCAGAAGUCAGAUCAUUGAACCAUUCUAGAGACUUCAAAUCCAUUGAGAUGGGAUUAAUGCCUUUGCCUGCUCAGACAGAGGACAGAAUGACCAUUGGAAGUGUUCAUCAGUAUUUUCCUGCUCUUAGAUGGAAAGGCCAAGGCCACCCCAAGCAUGCUGAAAUUAGUGGGCCAUCAUCAGGAAGAAGUUCAGAACUACAUAUGGAACCAGGUAACCGCUUUUCAUUUUCCCUUAGCUGA